GAUGAACGCUGGCGGCGUGCCUAAUACAUGCAAGUCGAGCGAACGGACGAGAAGCUUGCUUCUCUGAUGUUAGCGGCGGACGGGUGAGUAACACGUGGAUAACCUACCUAUAAGACUGGGAUAACUUCGGGAAACCGUAGCUAAUACCGGAUAAUAUUUUGAACCGCAUGGUUCAAAAGUGAAAGACGGUCUUGCUGUCACUUAUAGAUGGAUCCGCGCUGCAUUAGCUAGUUGGUAAGGUAACGGCUUACCAAGGCAACGAUGCAUAGCCGACCUGAGAGGGUGAUCGGCCACACUGGAACUGAGACACGGUCCAGACUCCUACGGGAGGCAGCAGUAGGGAAUCUUCCGCAGUGGGCGAAAGCCUGACGGAGCAACGCCGCGUGAGUGAUGAAGGUCUUCGGAUCGUAAAACUCUGUUAUUAGGGAAGAACAUAUGUGUAAGUAACUGUGCACAUCUUGACGGCACCUAAUCAGAAAGCCACGGCUAACUACGU
rnacentral:rRNA from 1 species